rnacentral:rRNA from 1 species
UACGUAGGGCGCGAGCGUUUGUCCGGAAUUAUUGGGGCGUAAAGAGCUCGUAGGCGGCUUGUCACGUCGGGUGUGAAAGACCGGGGCUUAACUCCGGUUCUGCAUUCGAUACGGGCUAGCUAGAGUGUGGUAGGGGAGAUCGGAAUUCCUGGUGUAGCGGUGAAAUGCGCAGAUAUCAGGAGGAACACCGGUGGCGAAGGCGGAUCUCUGGGCCAUUACUGACGCUGAGGAGCGAAAGCGUGGGGAGCGAACAGG